GGAAAUAAAAAGAAGACAGCUAGCAGAAGCUGCUGAAAAGAGGCAGAUGGAGGUAGCCUUUUGAUAAAAAGAAAUGGAAGAAGUGAACAGAUGAUGAAACGGCUAAAGUUCUUGGAAAUUCUGUCUGCCCAAAUUGUCUCUUCCCGGUUAAUUCUGUUUGUGAGGGCAAGAAUAGGCCCUGACACUGGAAAAACCACAGACUAAGAAUUUAUGGGACUUCUGGGAAUGGAAGUUCUGGUUCUGCAUCUUAGGAUGCAAAGCAGGCUUCCUCUCGAGGUAUUAAGAACGCUUACUCUGUAGAGC